rnacentral:rRNA from 1 species
AAUGAACGCUGGCGGCAUGCCUAACACAUGCAAGUCGAACGAAGGCUUCGGCCUUAGUGGCGCACGGGUGCGUAACGCGUGGGAAUCUGCCCUCAGGUUCGGAAUAACAGCGAGAAAUUGCUGCUAAUACCGGAUGAUAUCGCGAGAUCAAAGAUUUAUCGCCUGAGGAUGAGCCCGCGUAGGAUUAGCUAGUUGGUGUGGUAAAGGCGCACCAAGGCGACGAUCCUUAGCUGGUCUGAGAGGAUGAUCAGCCACACUGGGACUGAGACACGGCCCAGACUCUUACGGGAGGCAGCAGUGGGGAAUAUUGGACAAUGGGCGAAAGCCUGAUCCAGCAAUGCCGCGUGAGUGAUGAAGGCCUUAGGGUUGUAAAGCUCUUUUACCCGGGAUGAUAAUGACAGUACCGGGAGAAUAAGCUCCGGCUAACUCCGUGCCAGCAGCCGCCGUAACAC